rnacentral:lncRNA from 1 species
GAGCGGAGGCUCGAUCCUGUGGAUUAUCUAGUCAAAAUCGUUGAGAUAAGCACUGCUGAUAAGUUGAACUUGGAAAUACGGACGACGUAUUCGUAGUGACUGAUUGGGAGAAAUCAGUGUAGCAUGGAGUGAAACUGAGAAACUUUGGGAUGGUGUUAGAAUUUAUCUCUAUCCGUUAGAGCAAAUGAGAAGAGAUUUGUAUCGAAGUUUCGCAGACGAAACUUUUGUUAAUGGGGGGAGAUUGUAAUAUAUGAAAACCUUGAGUUGCGGUGCUAAUGUCACGCCCCGGGUCCCAGCGGAAGCCCGCCCGGCACGUGCCCAGACCCGCCAGACGUCUAAAACGUAUAAGGCGUCUAGAAACAACGAUAAUAAGAGCAAUAAUAAAAGACAUCUAGG